UCUUCAUUAGUAUAACGGUUAGUAUAACCGCUUCUCAUCUUCCUUAAUUGGAUUAUUCGCGGUAGACCAGGGUUCAACUCCCUGAUGGAGAA